rnacentral:rRNA from 1 species
GUGCAUGGGGGGGUGCUAUACAUGCAGUCGACGAACUCUGGUAUUGAUUGGUGCUUGCAUCAUGAUUUACAUUUGAGUGAGUGGCGAACUGGUGAGUAACACGUGGGAAACCUGCCCAGAAGCGGGGGAUAACACCUGGAAACAGAUGCUAAUACCGCAUAACAACUUGGACCGCAUGGUCCGAGUUUGAAAGAUGGCUUCGGCUAUCACUUUUGGAUGGUCCCGCGGCGUAUUAGCUAGAUGGUGAGGUAACGGCUCACCAUGGCAAUGAUACGUAGCCGACCUGAGAGGGUAAUCGGCCACAUUGGGACUGAGACACGGCCCAAACUCCUACGGGAGGCAGCAGUAGGGAAUCUUCCACAAUGGACGAAAGUCUGAUGGAGCAACGCCGCGUGAGUGAAGAAGGGUUUCGGCUCGUAAAACUCUGUUGUUAAAGAAGAACAUAUCUGAGAGUAACUGUUCAGGUAUUGACGGUAUUUAACCAGAAAGCCACGGCUAACUACGUGCCAGCAGCCGCGGUAAUACGUAGGUGGCAAGCGUUGUCCGGAUUUAUUGGGCGUAAAGCGAGCGCAGGCGGUUUUUUAAGUCUGAUGUGAAAGCCUUCGGCUCAACCGAAGAAGUGCAUCGGAAACUGGGAAACUUGAGUGCAGAAGAGGACAGUGGAACUCCAUGUGUAGCGGUGAAAUGCGUAGAUAUAUGGAAGAACACCAGUGGCGAAGGCGGCUGUCUGGUCUGUAACUGACGCUGAGGCUCGAAAGUAUGGGUAGCAAACAGGAUUAGAUACCCUGGUAGUCCAUACCGUAACGAUGAAUGCUAAGUGUUGGAGGGUUUCCGCCCUUCAGUGCUGCAGCUAACGCAUUAAGCAUUCCGCCUGGGGAGUACGGCCGCAAGGCUGAAACUCAAAGGAAUUGACGGGGGCCCGCACAAGCGGUGGAGCAUGUGGUUUAAUUCGAAGCUACGCGAAGAACCUUACCAGGUCUUGACAUACUAUGCAAAUCUAAGAGAUUAGACGUUCCCUUUCGGGGACAUGGAUACAGGUGGUGCAUGGUUGUCGUCAGCUCGUGUCGUGAGAAUGUGGGUUAAGUCCCGCACGAGCGCACCCUUAUUAUCAGUUGCCAGCAUUAGGUUGGGCACUCUGGUGAGACUGCCGGUUGACAACGGAGAGGUGGUAUGACGUCAAUCAUCAUGCCUAUGACCUGGCUACCACGUGCCUACAUGGAAUGGUUACCACACACCAGG